rnacentral:tRNA from 1 species
CGGCGUCUGGGACGCUAAUGUCCGCGCCGCUCAGGCCGCCGUGCGGGCGGCUUCGAGGCCCGCGACGACGGC